CUCAGAGGAGGAGUACUACAACGACCUCCAUGUUUUGAACACGAAUACUUUUGUCUGGAAGAAGAUUUCUACCACUGGAGUCUCGCCUAUUUCUCGGGAUAGCCAUACCUGCUCUUCCUAUAAGAACUGUUUCGUUGUCAUGGGUGGCGAGGACGGUGGUAAUGCCUAUCUAAACGACGUUCAUAUUCUGGACACAGAAACAAUGGCAUGGCAG